GCAACUCGACUGCAUGAAGCUGGAAUCGCUAGUAAUCGCGGAUCAGAAUGCCGCGGUGAAUACGUUCCCGGGCCUUGUACACACCGCCCGUCACACCAUGGAAGUCUGCAAUGCCCGAAGCCGGUGGCCUAACCACUUAUGUGGAAGGAGCCGUCUAAGGCAGGGCAGAUGACUGGGGUGAAGUCGUAACAAGGUAAC
rnacentral:rRNA from 1 species